GAACACAGAGUACUUAACUCAGGAUAAAAGCUGCCAAUAUGCUGCUCACCAGUUUGCUGAGGGCAGUCAUAGCCUCUGUCUGUCUUGGACCCAGCAUGGCCCAGAAGGUAACUCAAGCUCAGCCUGAAAUUUCUGUGGUGGAGAAGGAGAGUGUGACCUUGGACUGUGUGUAUGAAACCCGUCAUAUGACUUAUUACUUAUUCUGGUACAAACAACCACCAAGUGGAGAAAUGAUUUUCCUUAUUCAUCAUGACUCCUUUAAUGAGAAAAAUGAAACAAAAGAUCGGUAUUUUCUGAAUUUCCAGAAAUCCAUCAAUUCCAUCAGCCUCACCAUCACAGCCUCAGAGCUCACAGACUCUGCUGCGUAUUUCUGUGCUCUGAGAGAAGCCACAGUGAGACUGGUGCCUGCCGGAGCCCUACAAAAACCUCAACAAGAGAUAGGGCCCCUGGGGAGAGACUCCAUCACAGACAGGAAGAAGCAGGGGCUGUGUCAGCACACAUGGGGAUUUGGAUAG